rnacentral:lncRNA from 1 species
UAUUAAGCAUGAAUGAAAUAGUAAACUUCUUCCCCAAUUCCCUCAUCUCUUCUCACCUCAGCCUCUUUCUCUAUCCCUAUCCCCACUCUUACCUUUUCUCUAUCUCUAUCCCUUCUCUUCCUCUUCUCUUACCUCAAAUCCUUCUCAAUUUCUUUACCCAACUCACUGAAUUGGCAAUCGUAGUAUACCCAUCAUCCAAGUCGCCCUACGCACCUCAGCAAGUUCUCAUCCUUGGUGGUUGCGACGAGUCCGGGAUACUACAUAUUUGGUAUCAGAGUAGCGAGAUCCGGCGGGACGAUCCGAGGCAAGCUGAAUUCCGAAUUGUGGAACU